rnacentral:rRNA from 1 species
AUUGAACGCUGGCGGCAGGCCUAACACAUGCAAGUCGAGCGAGCGGCGGACGGGUGAGUAAUGCCUGGGAAUAUGCCUUAGUGUGGGGGAUAACUAUUGGAAACGAUAGCUAAUACCGCAUAUGCUAAGAUUAGCCCAGGUGAGAUUAGCUAGUUGGUGAGGUAAGAGCUCACCAAGGCGACGAUCUCUAGCUGGUCUGGGAGGAGGAUAAGCCACACGGGAACUGAGACACGGUCCUGACUCCGACGGGAGGCAGCAGUGGGGAAUAUUGCACAAUGGGCGAAAGCCUGAUGCAGCCAUGCCGCGUGUAUGAAGAAGGCCUUCGGGUUGUAAAGUACUUUCAGUAGGGAGGCGUUACCUACAGAAGAAGCACCGGCUAACUCCGUGCCAGCAGCCGCGUAAUAC